rnacentral:rRNA from 1 species
UACGGAGGGGGCAAGCGUUGUUCGGGAUCAUUGGGCGUAAAGGGCGCGUAGGCGGCCGUCCAAGUCGGGUGUGAAAUCCCUCGGCUCAACCGAGGAACUGCAUUCGAUACUGGUUGGCUAGAGUCCGGGAGGGGAUGGUGGAAUUCCCAGUGUAGCGGUGAAAUGCGUAGAUAUUGGGAAGAACACCGGUGGCGAAGGCGGCCAUCUGGACCGGCACUGACGCUGAGGCGCGAAAGCCAGGGGAGCGAAUGGG